rnacentral:rRNA from 1 species
UACGGAGGGGGCUAGCGUUGUUCGGAAUUAUUGGGCGUAAAGCGCACGUAGGCGGCUUUGUAAGUUAGAGGUGAAAGCCCAGGGCUCAACCCUGGAAUUGCCUUUAAGACUGCAUCGCUUGAACAUCGGAGAGGUAAGUGGAAUUCCGAGUGUAGAGGUGAAAUUCGUAGAUAUUCGGAAGAACACCAGUGGCGAAGGCGACUUACUGGACGAUUGUUGACGCUGAGGUGCGAAAGCGUGGGGAGCAAACAGG